UUCAUUUAUAAAGGUUCUCAAAUAAACUCAUUAAAGACUAAAAUAUUGAAGUAAAAGGAAUAAUAAAUGCUAGGGAAGGAAACAACGUCAAAAAGAGUAUUUGAGAAGCUAAAAAUAUUGAAGCAAAAAGUAAUUUAAAUGAGCUUUUAAUUAGUAGCCCAUUAAAUAGUAACGUAACUUAGUAAACCCUAAUAUAAAAACAAAGUCUAGUGUUUUAUCUCUCAGCCGCAUGUUUCAACUUGCCGUUUGCUUCUCCUCGCUGUCAAAGUCAUCGGAACCGGCAAAAUUCAAAGAUGAAAACAUAAAAAGAAGGUUCGUUCAUUUGUAAAGUUGAGUUUCUCAUGUCCAGAUCUGAUUCAUUUGCCCAGUUCUGAUUCAUUUCUUGUUGUUAAUUUCUUGUUGCCCACAUUCACCACUACUCUUACACUCGACGGAGCCAUCAAACAUCAAAACUCAAUAUGCAGGGUGAGUUGACUGAGCACUAUUCUCUUUUUCUAUGUAUCUCAUCUUGUCCUUUGUAUUUUUGUUUGAUUUUUUUUCACUGGCCAGAUCUGAUUCAUUUAUCCUUAUGAAGAAAGUAAAUAUGAAGUGGAGGAAGAGCUUCAAUCAGAAGCAAAUUAAAAGGAAUAGAAGUGGAGGAAGAGUGUUAAUUUAAGGAAGAUCAUGAUCACUGGUGGUCUUUGUUCUAUCUAGUUUAGGUGUUUUGUAAUUUUAAUUUUGGUUUUGUAACAUAUUGAUUGGAACAUUUGUUUUUUUCUUUGGGUUAGGUUCUUAAUUUUUUUUUUUUGGAAUUGUAAAGGAAAAGAAAUUGUAUAUUCUAUUUAGUUAAUUAAUGAAAAACUUUGUGAAAUAAUAAUAAUUUUAUGAAAUAUUCGGUUUAAUAAUUACUAAUUAUUUAAUAAUUUAAAAUUUAAAUUUAACAAAAUUAUUGUGAUUAAUG
rnacentral:lncRNA from 1 species